UUCAUCCUAGUUUAUAAAAAACAUCGAAUUGCAAAUUCGGGAAAUGGAUUAUGUAUCCAUGAUGAUU
rnacentral:tRNA from 1 species